rnacentral:rRNA from 1 species
UGCUGAAUUAUUCGCCAAUGCGCGAAAGCGUGACGGUGCGACGCCGCGUGCGGGACGAAGGCCUUCGGGUUGUAAACCGCUGUCAGGGUAUAGAAAACUGUCAUGGUUAAUAGCCAUGGUACUGAUCAUACCCAAAGGAAGCACAGGCUAAUCUCGUGCCAGCAGCCGCGGUAAUACGAGAUGUGCAAGCGUUGUUCGGAAUCACUGGGCAUAAAGGGUGCGUAGGCGGUGCGUCCAGUCGGAUGUGAAAUCCCUCGGCUUAACCGAGGAACUGCAUUCGAUACUAGCGCGCUAGAGGGUAAAAGGGGCAAGCGGAAUUCUAGGUGUAGCGGUGGAAUGCGUAGAUAUCUGGGAGAACGCCGAGGGCGAAGGCAGCUUGCUGGGUUACUUCUGACGCUGAGGCACGAAAGCUAGGGGAGCAAACA